rnacentral:rRNA from 1 species
AGAGUUUGAUCAUGGCUCAGAUUGAACGCUGGCGGCAUGCUUUACACAUGCAAGUCGAACGGGCUUGGGGGCUUGCUCCCAAGUUAGUGGCGAACGGGUGAGUAAUACAUCGGAACGUACCGUGUAGUGGGGGAUAACGUAGCGAAAGUUACGCUAAUACCGCAUACGAUCUACGGAUGAAAGCAGGGGACCUUCGGGCCUUGUGCUAUACGAGCGGCCGAUGUCUGAUUAGGUAGUUGGUGGGGUAAAGGCCUACCAAGCCGACGAUCUGUAGCUGGUCUGAGAGGACGACCAGCCACACUGGGACUGAGACACGGCCCAGACUCCUACGGGAGGCAGCAGUGGGGAAUUUUGGACAAUGGGCGCAAGCCUGAUCCAGCCAUGCCGCGUGCGGGAAGAAGGCCUUCGGGUUGUAAACCGCUUUUGUCAGGGAAGAAAUCUUCUGGGUUAAUACCUCGGGAGGAUGACGGUACCUGAAGAAUAAGCACCGGCUAACUACGUG